rnacentral:rRNA from 1 species
AGGUCUUUUGAGAGCUCACUAACUUCGGGUUCCAUCGGAACACCGAAGUUAAGCGAGUUCGCGCGAGAGCAAUCCCAUGAUGGGUAAUCCACUGGGAAGUUCUCGUGUGAGUUUCU